rnacentral:rRNA from 1 species
GCGAACGGUAGAGCAGCUUGCUUCUCUGAUGUUAGCGGCGGACGGGUGAGUAACACGUGGAUAACCUACCUAUAAGACUGGGAUAACUUCGGGAAACCGGUGCUAAUACCGGAUAAUAUUUUGAACCGCAUGGUUCAAAAGUGAAAGACGGUCUUGCUGUCACUUAUAGAUGGAUCCGCGCUGCAUUAGCUAGUUGGUAAGGUAACGGCUUACCAAGGCAACGAUGCAUAGCCGACCUGAGAGGGUGAUCGGCCACACUGGAACUGAGACACGGUCCAUACUCCUACGGGAGGCACCAGUAGGGAAUCUUCCUCAAUGGGCGAAAGCCUGACGGAGCAACGCCGCGUGAGUGAUGAAGGGC